CGGGAGCUGAUUCGCCGCUCUCGAUGCAACGGUCUCGCAAACCGUUGUGCGGUGUAAGCCGUACCCAGGGUUUGAAUCCCUGUCUCUUGU
rnacentral:tRNA from 1 species